rnacentral:rRNA from 1 species
UACAGAGGGGGCAAGCGUUAUUCGGAAUUAUUGGGCGUAAAGGGCGCGUAGGCGGCUUUGCAAGUGGCGGGUGAAAUCCCUCGGCUUAACCGAGGAACUGCCUGUCAAACUGCAUGGCUUGAGACCAGGAGAGGUGAGUGGAAUUCCGAGUGUAGAGGUGAAAUUCGUAGAUAUUGGGAAGAACACCGGUGGCGAAGGCGGCGACCUGGUCCUUGACUGACGCUGAGGCGCGAAAGCGUGGGGAGCAAACAGG